rnacentral:rRNA from 1 species
AUUGAACGCUGGCGGCAGGCCUAACACAUGCAAGUCGAACGCGUGGCGGUCGUGUGACUAAUUUCUUGGAAACUGCCUGAUGGCUGGUGCUCCCUACUCGAAACGGUCGCUCAUCCCGCUUACCAUCCGUUGUGCCCAGCUGGGAUUAGCUUGUUGGUGGGGUAACGGCUCACCAAGGCGACGAUCCCUAGCUGGUCUGAGAGGAUGACCAGCCACACUGGAACUGAGACACGGGCCAGACUCCUACGGGAGGCAGCAGUGGGGAAUAUUGCACAAUGGGCGAAAGCCUGAUGCAGCCAUGCCGCGUGUAUGAAGAAGGCCUUCGGGUUGUAAAGUACUUUCAGCGGGGAGGCGUUACCCGAAGAAGAAGCACCGGCUAACUCCGUGCCAGCCGCCGCGGUAAUAC